UUUCCGUAGGUGAACCCGCGGAAGGAUCAUUAUUGUAUAACCGAGGUGCGAGGGCUGUCGCUGACCCGAAAGGUCGUGCACGCCCGAGUGCUCUCACACACAUCCAUCUCACCCCUAUGUGCACCACCGCGUGGGUCCCCCUUUGGCUUGUUCGGAGGGGGGCUUACGUUUUCACACAAACUUUGUAUGCAGUGUAGAAUGUAUUUUUUGUUUUUGCGAUCACGCAAUCAAUACAACUUUCAACAACGGAUCUCUUGGCUCUC
rnacentral:misc_RNA from 1 species